CCCGCGCUGCCCCACCUUCUCCACCAGAUCCACACCCCACCACCUCCCUCGCGGAGCAUGAGCUCCCCCGAGGAGGCCCUCCGACUGCCGCCGCCCCGCCGCCCCUCGCUGUCUGCUAGGGUUGAGGUCGCCAGCCUUCUUCACCGCGCCACCUUCCCUCCACCGGCAGGUACAUCUCUCUCUCUCUCUCUCCCUCUCUGGCCGGUCGUGUUCUUUGCAGAUCCGGUUUGGCUCCUCGGGCGGCAAGGUGCUUGCCGAGGAGAAGGACGCCGGGAAGGUGACCCAGAUCCGGUUCGGUUCCUCCGGUGGCAAGGUGCUCAGCUCCUCCAGCGGCAAAGCGGCAAGGUGUUCUCUGUGCUCUGGCGGCAAGUUGCCCCUGCUGAUCUCCUCCUCCUCUGCAAGGUGCUCUGGCAGCAAGGUGCCUCUGCUGGUCUCCUCGUCGGCAAUAACAACAUCAAUCAGUUUGCACUUUAUUACAAGACAUGCAUUAGUUUGAAGACGGGACCGAGUCGUUGCAGGGCUUCUUGUUGGAGGGACAACCGGCACCGAGCCACUCACUACAUUUAUGGGAUUAUGUCUCUCCCGCUUGUCAAAGAAACCGGAAGGGGGUGGGUCAACGAAGGACAUUGACGCUACAAUUUCCGUCUAGUCAGGACAAGGCAAGAAGGGUGGCCGGUUAUACGUUGGCGCCGGCGCCAUCCGGAGGAAGGACAUUCCAAAACUCUCCCACCUCCGUGCUACCACAUCAAGUUCAGGUCCUGCUAUAGAGCGUUGCCCACAGCCUGGUCUACAUGCUCCAUCAAUUCGAGGCCCGCCUAGAGGAAGAAACCAGGUUGUGGCACGAGGCUUAUGCCAAUGCCGUGAUUCAACAGGAGCAAGCCAGGAAAUUACAGCAAGCCCUAUUUCAACAGCAGGAAUUCAAGGCUAGACAACAGGCAGCCUUGCAGGAGACAUUCACGCAGUUCAUAACUAAUACGCAGUUUUCUCAGUAGGGACAAGGCUCCAGUAAUAGUGUGGUAGGUGGAUGUACACCUGGCCAAGCAAGCCCAGCGACACCCACUACGGCUUAUGUCGCUUCAACCUCCCCGCAACAAUGAUCACUUGAGGUUUUUAUCGUGGAUGCCGUUCGGAGUGGGCAUACAUGCUGCGGUGGAGCUCAUUGCAUCUUUUAGGUUCAUGCCUGGUGUCAACUUGGAACUCACGUUCCUUUCAUUUGUGAACUCUGGAUGCAUAUGUAUGUAUGUUGUUGUGAACCUUCGUUGGAUAUGUAUGCAUGUGCGGACUAGGAACUCACGGUCAAUUCGUUUGUGAACUUGUGUUGCGUAUGUAUGCAUGUGUGGACAUUGCACUCA